AUUGAACGCUGGCGGCAGGCCUAACACAUGCAAGUCGAGCGGAUGAAUGGAUCUUGCUCCUGGAUUCAGCGGCGGACGGUUGAGUAAUGCCUAUGAAUCUGCCUGGUAGUUGGGGAUAACGUCCUGAUACGGGCUCUAAUCCCGCAUACGUCCUUUUGGUGAAAGUGGGGGAUCUUCGGUCCUCACGCUUUCUUAUUAGCCUAGGUCGGAUUAGCUAGUUGGUUGGGUAAAUGCCUACCAAGGCUACGAUCCGUAACUGGUCUGAGAGGAUGAUCAGUCACACUGGAACUGAGACACGGUCCAGACUCCUACGGGAGGCAGCAGUGGGGAAUAUUGGACAAUGGGGGAAAGCCUGAUACAGCAAAGCCGCGUGUGUGAAGAAGGUCUUCGGAUUGUAAAGCAAUUUAAGUUGGGAGGAAGGGAAGUAAGUUAAUACCUUGCUGUAUUGACGUUACCAAAAGAAUAAGCACCGGCUAACUUCGUG
rnacentral:rRNA from 1 species